AACGAACGCUGGCGGCAUGCCUAACACAUGCAAGUCGAACGAAGCCUUCGGGCUUAGUGGCGCACGGGUGCGUAACGCGUGGGAAUCUGCCCUUGGGUUCGGAAUAACAGUUAGAAAUGACUGCUAAUACCGAAUGAUGUCUUCGGACCAAAGAUUUAUCGCCCAAGGAUGAGCCCGCGUCGGAUUAGCUAGUUGGUGAGGUAAAGGCUCACCAAGGCGACGAUCCGUAGCUGGUCUGAGAGGAUGAUCAGCCACACUGGGACUGAGACACGGCCCAGACUCCUACGGGAGGCAGCAGUGGGGAAUAUUGGACAAUGGGCGAAAGCCUGAUCCAGCAAUGCCGCGUGAGUGAUGAAGGCCUUAGGGUUGUAAAGCUCUUUUACCCGGGAUGAUAAUGACAGUACCGGGAGAAUAAGCCCGGCUAACUCCGUGCCAGCAGCCGCGGUAAU
rnacentral:rRNA from 1 species